rnacentral:misc_RNA from 1 species
CAGAAUGGGGUGGGCCAAAGAUCUUCUUGAAGUGAUAAAUGCUGUGGACUGUCAGCGCUCACCUAUUUGUCAUUCACCAGGUCCUUUGAUAAAGGUCUUUGAUUUUCCUGGGGUCCAUGACUCUCCAAAGAGAAUGUCCUGCCUAAUAAGUUGGAAACGAUGUCGAGAAUGUACCUUCACUGACCAAUCAUCAGAUGAGGACAGUGACCCCAAUUUCCAACUAGAAGACAAGCUAAUGGUCCCCAGCAACAAAACAUCAAUCACAGUCAACAAUAUUCAGGACAUAAGACUCGCUUCAUCGUGUUCCUUUGCUAACACUUGACACUAACAGCUCUAAACGAAUUUCGGAUAAAGACCCUCCUCCCUCCUUCUCUUUGCCUCCAUACAAUUUACAAAUGAUUGAAUUCAUUGAUUGAUUGAUUAAUUGAUUGAUCGAUUGAUUGUCACUCAAACAAU